GAUGAACGCUGGCGGCGUGCUUAACACAUGCAAGUCGAACGGAGUUUAUAUGAUAGAGGAUUCGUCCAAUUGAGUAUAAACUUAGUGGCGGACGGGUGAGUAACGCGUGAGUAACCUGCCUUGGAGUGGGGAAUAACACAGAGAAAUUUGUGCUAAUACCGCAUAAUGCAUUUGUAUCGCAUGGUACUGAAUGCCAAAGAUUUAUCGCUGAGAGAUGGCCUCGCGUCUGAUUAGAUAGUUGGUGAGGUAACGGCCCACCAAGUCUGCGAUCAGUAGCCGGACUGAGAGGUUGAUCGGCCACAUUGGGACUGAGACACGGCCCAGACUCCUACGGGAGGCAGCAGUGGGGAAUAUUGGGCAAUGGGCGCAAGCCUGACCCAGCGACGCCGCGUGAGGGAUGAAGGUCUUCGGAUUGUAAACCUUUGUUGACAGGGACGAUAAUGACGGUACCUGUCGAGGAAGCCACGGCUAACUACGU
rnacentral:rRNA from 1 species